rnacentral:rRNA from 1 species
GCUCUUUGGGUGGCGAGUGGCGGACGGGUGAGUAAUGUCUGGGAAACUGCCCGAUGGAGGGGGAUAACUACUGGAAACGGUAGCUAAUACCGCAUAACGUCGCAAGACCAAAGUGGGGGACCUUCGGGCCUCACACCAUCGGAUGUGCCCAGAUGGGAUUAGCUAGUAGGUGGGGUAAUGGCUCACCUAGGCGACGAUCCCUAGCUGGUCUGAGAGGAUGACCAGCCACACUGGAACUGAGACACGGUCCAGACUCCUACGGGAGGCAGCAGUGGGGAAUAUUGCACAAUGGGCGCAAGCCUGAUGCAGCCAUGCCGCGUGUAUGAAGAAGGCCUUCGGGUUGUAAAGUACUUUCAGCGGGGAGGAAGGCGGUGAGGUUAAUAACCUCGCCGAUUGACGUUACCCGCAGAAGAAGCACCGGCUAACUCCGUGCCAGCAGCCGCGGUAAUACGGAGGGUGCAAGCGUUAAUCGGAAUUACUGGGCGUAAAGCGCACGCAGGCGGUCUGUUAAGUCAGAUGUGAAAUCCCCGGGCUUAACCUGGGAACUGCAUUUGAAACUGGCAGGCUUGAGUCUCGUAGAGGGGGGUAGAAUUCCAGGUGUAGCGGUGAAAUGCGUAGAGAUCUGGAGGAAUACCGGUGGCGAAGGCGGCCCCCUGGACGAAGACUGACGCUCAGGUGCGAAAGCGUGGGGAGCAAACAG